ACGAAGGGGACUAGCGUUGUUCGGAAUUACUGGGCGUAAAGCGCGUGUAGGCUGAUUAGUCAGUCAGGGGUGAAAUCCCAGGGCUCAACCCUGGAACUGCCUUUGAUACUGCUAGUCUUGAGACCGGUAGAGGUGAGUGGAAUUCCGAGUGUAGAGGUGAAAUUCGUAGAUAUUCGGAGGAACACCAGUGGCGAAGGCGGCUCACUGGACCGGUACUGACGCUGAGACGCGAAAGUGUGGGGAGCAAACAGG
rnacentral:rRNA from 1 species